AUCGAAUUACACCAUUUGCCGAGCAGCGGUUUGUUUUGCUGGCGCUGGGUCCCGCCGCCGCCGCCGCCGCCGCCGCCCCCGCCGCCUUGGCUAGAGCGGACCAGUUUCAGGAUAGAUCGCAAGGCGCGACCCGAGACCGUGGGAUUGCUCUUUCUGCACACCGUCUUGAUCGGCUUUUCCAUCUGAUCCUGACAAGCUUUAUUUGUCUGUUUUUUAAAGCAGGCUUCCCUAUGAGAGGAAGCUAAGUGGGACUUCUGAGGAGGGAGCUCAGAUACCUUCUCGGCCAACCAUGAGGUUCUUUCUGCUGUGGUUCUGUGUGCUGUUCCUUCUGGUCUCCAGGUUACGGGCCG
rnacentral:lncRNA from 1 species